rnacentral:misc_RNA from 1 species
UACGGAGGUGGCAAGCGUUGUCCGGAAUUAUUGGGCGUAAAGCGCGCGCAGGCGGUUUACUUAAGUCUGAUGUGAAAUCUCGGUGCUCAACCCCGAGCGGUCAUUGGAAACUGGGAGACUUGAGUACGGAAGAGGGGAGUGGAAUUCCACGUGUAGCGGUGAAAUGCGUAGAUAUGUGGAGGAACACCAGUGGCGAAGGCGGCUCUCUGGUCUGUAACUGACGCUGAGGCGCGAAAGCGUGGGGAGCAAACAGG